UAGGUUAGCAAGGAUUCCACGCAAAACUCAAUCAAAAAACUGAGUAAAUUUCCUUUAGUUAGUUUAGUUUGUUAUGUACUUCUAUUAUCUCUACUACCUAAAAGAAACAUAAGGUUCCCUCUCCCCUCUUACGUUUCGUCUGACACCUUCGUUUAACUCCCUCGUACGUUCCCACCUCCCACCGUUUUCUAACCCCCACCCAUAUGGUUUUUCUAUCCAUCUGGUUUUCAUUUAAACCGGUUUUCAUCUAGAGUGCCAAAUCAGAUCAAUAAAAUCUUUCGUAAUUAGUAACGCAAUAAAGGUCACACGGGAAGGACUCAAUUCACGGUGGGCAAUCAAAGUCAAUCCAUCUAACCAAUCACAUUCGAAAGGAAAGGAAGGAAUCAAUAAAAAGGAGCGUAUCAACUGCAUUCGUAACAAGUAUUUGGUAGCAGAAUAAAGUGGUCGAGAAGUAAUCAAUCACAGUUGAGGCAUAUAAUCAUCUUUCCUUGUUGUUACAGAUCUCCCUUUUCUAAGCAAUCCAUCGGGCCUUCCCAAAAACGUACACCAACCUGAUCCGAACUCAAAAAGACCUGCUCCUCAUUCACCAAUCCAUGGGCCUUUCUUUUUUUGUAGUAGCUAGAGAAAACAUUUUUUUCGGAACUUGUGGCGGCGGACGAACGAGGGCAGCUGCGGUGGGUGAACUAUAAUGGAGCAGUGGCGGCAUAUGUGAGCCCUCAUCUCCUUUCAGUUCCAGAUCCAUGGCAGUGGUGACGGUCCUCCUCGUCUUCAUUCACCCUACUAGGAGGCCGUUGCCCCUCCUCACGGACGUCCCUCCUCACAUGCGGCAUCAAUGGAGGAGACGUCCACAGUCUCGCGCUCAGCGGCAGGAACAACAGAUGUGGUGGUCCUCGUUUGGCCUUUAAUUCCAAGUCAUGCUUGGAGCUUUGGUCUGCAGCUACAUGAGAUCAGAAAGCAUGUCUUAGGCUAAAGGUAAAAUUGUAGCUUGGAGGUGAUUACAUCAUAUGCUUUGGCGUGUAAGAGUGUUAUGCUUUCUGUGACGUGGCUUGAAGUUCAGAUAUUUUGCAGUAAAUAUAUAUCUUCUAUAGAGUCUUCUUUUUCAUUUGGGUGUGGGACAGGGAGGGUUAUGUUUUUUUCAAAAAAUAUAAGAUUUCAUUAUUUUGUUUCA